AUAACAUUCUCACCAUCUGCAACUUAGUGUAACAGCAGACUGCGUGAAAACUUGGUGAGGGGAACAUAUACGAUCGAAAUCCAUUUCAGGAAUGAUCUGAAAUCUCAUCUUCAGUUGGUUUCAUCAUUCUCAAUACGGAUACAGAAUCCACCAAAAGUACGUGCAUCAGCGCUCUGUGAAUUGGCAGCUCGCAUAAUCUGCGCUUGGUUCCGGUCCUGGAGAUUAGCAGGAAUCUGUGAUCAUGGCGCCAUAUUACGCCUCCAUUUUAGCUGCAGAUCACGGGUGAGAAGUUGCACACUCAACAUGUUCAUUGCUUGGGAUCACAUACUAAAACAUGUUUCUUUGACAGUAACAACAUGAUUCUUGGUAACAAAAUUAUUUUUACAUUGUGGGCAGUUGAUUGUUGGGCUAGUAAACACGAAUUCUUGUUGCCCCACAAUCCAUAAUAACUACUAAAGUUCGUUUGGGGAUCAAUUUUUGACAAAUUUGUAGCGUUCUAACUUCAUCUGUCUCAUUCUUAUCUCAAGGCAAAUCCACCACCGACUCUUGCAUAUCCAAAUCAGCUUUAUUUUUGCCAGUAGCUGACUGUAGUAGGCUGCUAAUGCAUCAAAUCAACAGCUUUAAUUUAAGAGUUAAGAGUGCAACUAUCAUGUCAAUUUCUCGAUCACGAUAAGGGAGGAGCGAAUAAUAUAUCAAUUCACUGUCAGUUAGUGGAAGCUGAAGAAUUCUCCAAAAUAUAUUUCUUUGACUGGGGACGGAUUCGUUUUAUGUAUAACUUAGCAAAGGCCCCCUAAUGCUUUCGUUAUGUCAAAGGAAUUCACUGUCUGCAGCUUUCCACAGACAUUUUCCCGAAGUUGUAACCAGAUUAUGACUUAUAAAAGUAGCUCAUUGUGCUUUUGU